rnacentral:rRNA from 1 species
CAGCAGCCACGGUAAUACGUAGGUGGCAAGCGUUGUCCGGAAUUAUUGGGCGUAAAGGGCUCGCAGGCGGUUUCUUAAGUCUGAUGUGAAAGCCCCCGGCUCAACCGGGGAGGGUCAUUGGAAACUGGGAAACUUGAGUGCAGAAGAGGAGAGUGGAAUUCCACGUGUAGCGGUGAAAUGCGUAGAUAUAUGGAGGAACACCGGUGGCGAAAGCGGCUCUCUGGUCUGUAACUGACGCUGAGGAGCGAAAGCGUGGGGAGCGAACAGGAUUAGAUACCCGCGUAGUCCCUGUCUCUUAUAC